GGUCUCGUAGCUCAGUAGGUUAGAGCGUUGGCUGAACUAAAGCCUUCCCCUUGCUGGCGUGGGUUCGAAUUCCACCGAGACCA
rnacentral:tRNA from 1 species